rnacentral:rRNA from 1 species
CAGUAGCCGCGGUAAUACGUAGGUGGCAAGCGUUGUCCGGAAUUAUUGGGCGUAAAGGGCUCGCAGGCGGUUUCUUAAGUCUGAUGUGAAAGCCCCCGGCUCAACCGGGGAGGGUCAUUGGAAACUGGGAAACUUGAGUGCAGAAGAGGAGAGUGGAAUUCCACGUGUAGCGGUGAAAUGCGUAGAGAUGUGGAGGAACACCAGUGGCGAAGGCGACUCUCUGGUCUGUAACUGACGCUGAGGAGCGAAAGCGUGGGGAGCGAACAGGAUUAGAUACCCCCGUAGUCCCUUCUCUUAUACA